GAUGUGUCACAGAGGUGACACAUGGCAAAGGUACAAGUUUAGAAGAGAUGGUAAUUUAGAAGCUUCUGACUCUCAGAAAACAGGAAAGAACCUUAUUUUGCACUAGUCAGCUGAAAAUACCACAUUGGUGGGUGCCCUCCAGAUAUGAAACAGAGAAUGGCAGCUGAGCUUCAGGUGAUCUUGGAAUAAUUUUCACAGUUUCUAAAGAAGAUACAACCCCUCAUCACAAAGACUGCUGUAAGGGAAUUCCGUCCAGAGCACAGGGCAACCAUCUUCUCAAUACAGAGACUUGGAGCAAACAAUCUCUAUGUGGAUUAUUUAAAUUCAUGAGAAGGUGGAAGACAUUACUAUGAACCACUGCUCCUCUUGCCAAAUGAACCAGCAGAUGCAGCAGGCCCAAGAGAUGCUGAACCUUCUGAUCCCAAAGACAGCCAAGUUGUCAAGAUGCUUCAGCAGCAUCAGAUGCCUUUGAAGGAACACAAAAGCACCAAGCACUGCAUAUCAACAUGUGAAACGGGCUUUCACAUGCCACUCCAGCCAAAAGCAUUUGGGAA